UACGUAGGGCGCAAGCGUUGUCCGGAAUUAUUGGGCGUAAAGAGCUCGUAGGCGGCCAGUUGCGUCUGCUGUGAAAUCCCGGGGCUCAACCCCGGGCGUGCAGUGGAUACGGGCUGGCUAGAGGCAGGCAGGGGAGAACGGAAUUCCCGGUGUAGCGGUGAAAUGCGCAGAUAUCGGGAGGAACACCGGUGGCGAAGGCGGUUCUCUGGGCCUGUACUGACGCUGAGGAGCGAAAGCGUGGGGAGCAAACAGGAUUAGAAACCCUAGG
rnacentral:rRNA from 1 species